GUGGGACUGUAGCUCAGUGGUUGAGUGCUUGCCUAGCAUGUGUGAGGCACUGGGUUUGAUUCUCAGCACCACA
rnacentral:tRNA from 1 species